GAUGAAGAACGUAGCGAAAUGCGAUAAGUAAUGUGAAUUGCAGAAUUCAGUGAAUCAUCGAAUCUUUGAACGCACAUUGCGCCCCUUGGUAUUCCGAGGGGCAUGCCUGUUCGAGCGUCAUUAUAACCCCUCAAGCUCAGCUUGGUGUUGGGGCCUGCUGCACUGGCAGCCCUUUAAAUCAGUGGCGGCGCCGUCUGGCUCUAAGCGUAGUAAUUCUUCUCGCUAUGGAGUCCUGGUGGAUGCUUGCCAUCAACCCCCAAUUUUUCUAUGGUUGACCUCGGAUCAGGUAGGGAUACCCGCUGAACUUAAGCAUAUCAAUAAGCGGAGGA
rnacentral:misc_RNA from 1 species